rnacentral:rRNA from 1 species
GACGAACCGUGCGAACGUUAUUCGGAAUCAUUGGGCUUAAAGGGCGCGUAGACGGGCGACCGCGUCGAGUGCUGAAAUCCCCCGGCUCAACCGGGGAAGCGGCCUCGAAACGGGUCGCCUCGAGUGGAGGAGAGGGACCUGGAACGUCCGGUGGAGCGGUGAAAUGCGUUGAGAUCGGACGGAACGCCGACGGCGAAAGCAGGGUCCUGGACUCCCACUGACGUUGAGGCGCGAAAGCCAGGGGAGCGAACGGG